ACCACACGAAGCUGGAAUCGCUAGUAAUCGUGAAUCAGAAUGUCACGGUGAAUACGUUCCCGGGUCUUGUACACACCGCCCGUCACACCAUGGGAGUCAGCAACGCCCGAAGUCAGUGACCUAACCGAGAGGGAGGAGCUGCCGAAGGCGGGGCCGGUAACUGGGGUGAAGUCGUAACAAGGUAUC
rnacentral:rRNA from 1 species